rnacentral:rRNA from 1 species
UAGUCCACGCCCUAAACGAUGCUUACUCGAUGUGUGCACUUGUUGUGCGCGUCCAAGGGAAACCGUUAAGUAAGCCACCUGGGGAGUACGUUCGCAAGAAUGAAACUCAAAGGAAUUGACGGGGGCCCGCACAAGCGGUGGAGCAUGUGGUUUAAUUCGAUGAUACGCGAGGAACCUUACCAGGGCUUAAAUGCAGAAUGACAGUUUGGGAAACCAGAUUUUCUUCGGACAUUUUGCAAGGUGCUGCAUGGUUGUCGUCAGCUCGUGCCGUGAGGUGUCAGGUUAAGUCCUAUAACGAGCGCAACCCCUAUCUUUAGUUGCCAGCGGUUCGGCCGGGGACUCUAAAGAAACUGCCAGCGCAAGCUGUGAGGAAGGUGGGGAUGACGUCAAAUCAUCACGGCCCUUACGUCCUGGGCUACACACGUGCUACAAUGGUAAUGACAGAGGGCAGCCACCACGCGAGUGGGAGCGAAUCCUUAAACAUUAUCUCAGUUCGGAUUGGAGU